UACGGAAGUCAGCAGUGGGGAAUAUUGCACAAUGGGCGAAAGCCUGAUGCAGCUAUGCCGCGUGUAUGAAGAAGGCCUUAGGGUUGUAAAGUACUUUCAUCGGGGAGGAAAAACAAAACUAAUAAUUUUAUUUCUUGACGUUACCCGAAAAAGAAGCACCGGCUAACUCCGUGCCAGCAGCCGCGGUAAUACGGAGGGUGCUAGCGUUAAUCAGAAUUACUGGGCGUAAAGAGCACGUAGGUGGUUUUUUUAAGUCAGAUGUGAAUCCCUGGGCUUAACCUAGGAACUGCAUUUUGAAACUGAAAUACUAGAGUAUCGUAGAGGGAGGUAGAAUUCUAGGUGUAGCGGUGAAAUGCGUAGAUAUCUGGAGGAAUACCUGUGGCGAAAGCGGCCUCCUAAACGAAUACUGACACUGAGGUGCGAAAGCGUGGGGAGCAAACAGGAUUAGAUACC
rnacentral:rRNA from 1 species